rnacentral:rRNA from 1 species
CAGCCGCCACGGGAAUACGUAGGUGGCAAGCGUUGUCCGGAAUUAUUGGGCGUAAAGGGCUCGCAGGCGGUUUCUUAAGUCUGAUGUGAAAGCCCCCGGCUCAACCGUGGAGGGUCAUUGGAAACUGGGAAACUUGAGUGCAGAAGAGGAGAGUGGAAUUCCACGUGUAGCGGUGAAAUGCGUAGAGAUGUGGAGGAACACCAGUGGCGAAGGCGACUCUCUGGUCUGUAACUGACGCUGAGGAGCGAAAGCGUGGGGAGCGAACAGGAUUAGAUACCCGGGUAGUCCCUGUCUCUUAUAC